CCUGGCCGUGAAUGAAUAAUUGUUCAAUUGGAUUAAACAUGUAUCGCUCGCCGGCUGUUAGGCCUUGUUCAGAUUGACAGCUAAAAUCCAAUAUUUAGCCCAUCUACACUAAAAAUUGCUGGCUUUUUGUAGCCUGAACAGUCACAAAGCACAGAAAUCUGUUUUUGUGAGAGUGAUUGAAAACACAUACGGGAGAAAGCUGUAUUUCAGAUAUGGACAAGAUGAACAGCUCAAAUGGGUUUUGACUGUCCGUGACGCCACUCUAUGCUGAAUGACGCCUCCAUUGCCACUGCAACCUGUCAGGCUAGUCAAUAAUGUGGCCCGGUCUGAAUAGGCCUUGAUUUGGAUACUUGCAUAAAAUAUUGUGAACAGGCAGCUCUAGAAAUCAGAUUUGACGAGAAAUCCGAUUGGAAUCGGAUACAGGAAUCUGAGCACCACUUGUCUUGAAGGGUUAAUGAGAGUAUGCUUGGGUGUGGGUGUGUCACUGUCCCUCUGCCACCUAAUGAAUAUCACCUGUGGCUAUACCAGUGAAUGUUUGGUUGAUGUAGGAAAUUUCAGUUUUCUGUUCAUUCAUGAGCACACGCUCGGUUUGUAGAUGGGCGCUGUUACUAUUUGAGCUCGCGCUGAUGUCGGCAUUAUUCAGUCAUGUGGUCAAAGGACACGGAUUGUACAUACCAUCACAUCAAGACUGAAAUGAGUGAAUGAACGUCAUCGUAUGACAAUUUUGGCUUAACGUGAGCCCCCAUGGAUACAGUGUCAGACAGAGCCCUGCACUCUAUUGGUGCACGGGCACGUGUCUGGACGCAGAUGAAUAACCAGAGGUUCCUUGGUUAUCUCGACUUCCUUGAGCGUUCCAGCGGGCUCCAGAUGUAGCGAUUCAUCAUCAUCUAUCCAUUCGAUUUUCAACCAGAGACAGGAUGGGCCGGCCCGUCAAACAUCUGCGCUAGAGAUCAUACACGUUCCAGUUGAAGAAAAACUGCACCAAAGCAUGACGCUGUGCUCAACCUGGGUUUCAAAAGCACAUGAGGGAAAUUCCGCGAUAGCGGGCGACCAGUUCAGGGUGUACUCCUCCUGCGCAUGGUCAGCGCGGAUAGAUUACAGCAACUUCACGAUCCUUGUGAGGAUGAACAGUAAGAAUAUUGAACAAAUGAAAUUGGGAAAAUGCAAUGUGAUCUGAUGAAAGUUUGAACAACAUGCAAUAUUUAAUGUACAAAUUAUUAGAAUU